AGAAGACAUAAAGAUUAGACACUUAGCAGGAAGCAGGAAGAACACGGUGAAUGUAUCACCUCACCUAGAACCAGUUCAGCAAGCUGACGUCCUCUGACCCGCAGCAAAUGUUUGCUUUUAAAAUGAACGCCGUCAUCACGACGCAUGAAGCCGAACUGAUGUAUCCAGAUCCUGCUUGAUGGACGAACGAACGGAUGGAUGGACGGAUGUAGAGAUGGAUGUGUGGAGAAGACAUAUGACUAAUGAUAUCAUCCUACUGCAGAGCCACGAACGGUCCAUCACUCCGAUCAAGUACAACCGAGAAGGAGACCUAUUUUCCGUCGCUAAAGAUCCAGUGGCCAACUUAUGAAUCAGUAUCUACAACGGACACAUGGGAGCUGUGCGAUGUGUCGACUGUGACUGGGACACCAAAUAUGUUUUGACAGGAUCAGCUGACAACAACUGUCAACUGUGGGACUGUGAGACUGGUUCGAUUUUAGCGGCAACAUCAUGUUUUCCCCGGACGAGCAGCUGGGCUGUCAGUGUUUCAUGAACUCAGUCGACCUGAGGGAUCCACAGAUCGAGAAGUCCUGAAGAAAGCUAAGGAGCACAGCAGGCACAUCAACACCAUCCAGACGUCUGUAGACCUCACCAUGUUCAUCAGUGCCUCAAUGGACAACACCACCAAGGUUCGCCACGCUGCGUACGAGGAGGAGUUUGGUAGAGUCAAAAGUCAUUUUGGUCCCAUCAACUGUGUGGCUUUCCACCCUUACGCAGUGGCGGAGAAGAUGGACAUGUGAGGUGGAGGCCUAAAGUGUUAGGCCUGUGGACACUGCCAAGUAGAGUGAAGGAGCAACUUUAUUUGAAGCAGAUCACUUGUUUGCUGGACUUAUACUGGAGGAGAAGAUGGAUAUGUGAGGUGGACACAGCAGCUUGGACUCUGCCAAGUAGAGUGAAGGAGCAACUUUAUUUGAAGCAGAUCACUUUUGCUGGACUUGUGAGUGUUUUACUGGAACUUUUUGGCCUUUGCACUUUCAUUGACAAAUAUUUAACAUUCACUUUUUCAGAGAAAAAAGUUUUUAUUUUACUUAGUUUUUUUUUUUGGCCAUUGUACUUUCAUUGUGAUCUGUAUUUGAUUGUUGUAAAUCUUCCAGAAUAAAGAAAGUUGUUGUUGAA